AUGUUUAAAGAAAGCAAAUCUUUGUCCAUUUUCCUAGGAUCCAGAUUAAACCCUCUUGGAAUAAGAGCAGCAGCAAGAUCUCUCCUACGGGUCUGCAAACCCCACAAACAAGAUAAGAGAGACAUACUUAAUGGAUCAGCGAUGAAUCCACAUUCAGAAACUACUGUAGAAUCGUCGGUGCUAUACAUAUGCAUGAAGUACAAUAAAAAUAUUGUAGUUAACUUGUUGGGUAUAUCACUGCUGUUGCCUCCUAAUUUUUGUGAUGAACGAAUAGUGCACGUUUUGCGUGUAAAUCCGAGAUGCCUCGAAAGGUUGGGAGGUGAACUUGUACUGGUGCUUCCUCCUGCAAUUUCUAAUGCUCUGACAAAGGUUACCUUAGCAGCUGUUGGAAUGGACAAUAGCAGACAAGUAUGCUACAAAGUUAAUACAAGCUGA
rnacentral:rRNA from 1 species